rnacentral:rRNA from 1 species
AGAGUUUGAUCCUGGCUCAGAACGAACGCUGGCGGNGUGCCUAACACAUGCAAGUCGGGGGAGAAAGUAGACUUCGGUCUGCGAGUAAACCGGCGCACGGGUGAGUAUAACGUAGGUAACGUACCUUAGAGUCCGGGAUAACCAGUCGAAAGAUUGGCUAAUACCGGAUACGACCGCAGGGGCUUCGGCUUCAGCGGUGAAAGAUGGCCUCUACUUGUAAGCUAUCACUCCUAGAGCGGCCUGCGCACCAUUAGCUUGUUGGUGAGGUAACGGCUCACCAAGGCUGAGAUGGUUAGCUGGUCUGAGAGGAUGGCCAGCCACACUGGGACUGAGACACGGCCCANACUCCUACGGGAGGCAGCAGUGGGGAAUCUUGCGCAAUGGGCGAAAGCCUGACGCAGCGACGCCGCGUGGGUGAUGAAGGCCUUCGGGUCGUAAAGCCCUGGUCGGGAGGGAAGAAUGUCCCUCGACCUAAUACGUCGGGGGAGUGACGGUACCUCCUAAGGAAGCACCGGCUAACUCCGUGCCAGCAGCCGCGGUAAUACGGAGGGUGCAAGCGUUGUUCGGAAUCACUGGGCGUAAAGGGCGUGUAGGCGGCCUGUUAAGUCUGAUGUGAAAUCCCCUCGCUCAACGAGGGNACUGCGUCNGAAACUGGCACGCUUGAGUACCGGAGAGGAAGGUGGA